UUUCCGUAGGUGAACCUGCGGAAGGAUCAUUCAUAAUAAAGUGUUUUAUGGCACUUUUUAAAAAUCCAUAUCCACCUUGUGUGCAAUGUUAGAUCUCGUCAAUCUUGGCGAGAUUUUUAUACAUCAACUCAUUCUUUAACUAAUUUGUCUGAAAAAUAUUAUGAAUACUUAAUUCAAAAUACAACUUUCAGCAACGGAUCUCUUGGCUCUC
rnacentral:misc_RNA from 1 species